rnacentral:rRNA from 1 species
GCUUACGGCCAUACCAGCCUGUGUACGCCUCGAUCUCGUCUGAUCUCGGAAGCUAAGCAGGGUCGGGCCUGGUUAGUACUUGGAUGGGAGACCGCCUGGGAAUACCAGGUGCUGUAAGCA